rnacentral:rRNA from 1 species
AACGGCAGCGCGAGAGAAGCUUGCUCUCUUGGCGGCGAGUGGCGGACGGGUGAGUAAUAUAUCGGAACGUGCCCAGAGCGGGGGAUAACUACUCGAAAGAGUGGCUAAUACCGCAUACGCCCUACGGGGGAAAGGGGGGGAUCGCAAGACCUCUCACUAUUGGAGCGGCCGAUAUCGGAUUAGCUAGUUGGUGGGGUAAAGGCUCACCAAGGCAACGAUCCGUAGCUGGUUUGAGAGGACGACCAGCCACACUGGGACUGAGACACGGCCCAGACUCCUACGGGAGGCAGCAGGGGGAAUUUUGGACAAUGGGGGAAACCCUGAUCCAGCCAUCCCGCGUGUAUGAUGAAGGCCUUCGGGUUGUAAAGUACUUUUGGCAGAGAAGAAAAGGUAUCCCCUAAUACGGGAUACUGCUGACGGUAUCUGCAGAAUAAGCACCGGUAACUACGUGCCACAGCCGCGGUAAUACGUAGGGUGCAAGCGUUAAUCGGAAUUACUGGGCGUAAAGCGUGUGUAGGCGGGUCGGAAAGAAAAUGUGAA